UCAAAUAGUUGUUAUGGCUAUGUUAGCUUUAGCAAUUGGAGGGGAUGCUAUUUCUAAUCAAGCGAUAAGAGAAGCAAUAAUUGAUUGUCUUUUUUACCUUCCAAACAAAGUUAGAGAGGUGCUGAAGCUUGACCAGGAAAUGAAAGAUCUUGCUAAGCUACUGAUUGCAGAGUAGUCACUUCUCAUGUUUGGCAGAGGAUACAAUUAUGCUACAGCACUGGAAGGUUCUUUAAAAGUAAAGGAAGUGGCAUUGAUGCACAGUGGAGGAAUACUUGCUGCUGAAGUGAAACGUGGUCCUCUAGCUCUAGUGGAUGAGUCUUCCCAUUGUAGUGAUUGCUACUUAUGAUGCUUGCUUCAGGUUAGCUUUUGUUGUACAGGUUUACUCGCAUCUGUGAAAUCUCUAUUUGUAAGAAAGCUGAAGGUGUCAAUGUUAACAGCAAGCAACAAUCAGUUAUGCAGCAACUCCAUUGCCGCAAAGGACGCCUAAUUGUCAUGUGCUUGAGGGGGAUGCUGCAACUGUGUCUUUUGGUGGAGCAUGUAGAGUCAUUGAAGUUCCUCAAGUGGAGGACUGUCUUCAGCCUGUAGUCAAUAUAGUUCCUUAGGUACAGAGUACUUCCACUAGUUUUCUAUGAUUGCCAAGAUGCAACAUCUUUUUUUUCCUUUACUACCAAAUGCGUCGUAACUUGCUGAAGAUGAAGUUAUGAUGUAGAUGAGGUGGAGCUGGAUGGGAGCAUCUAGCUUUCUGUUUCCUUGAUAUGUUUUAUGCUCUUGGUGUUUGUUUCAUGAAGAA